UAGCUUGGUAUCUGGACUUGAGCCUCAUGGUGAAAACCUGUCCAUCCACACAACUUGCACACCUGCCCAAUCCCAGUGUGAGGGUCCUGCAGAAGCACAAGGACCCUGUCACAUAGCCAUGGCUUGUAGGCAUUUUCAGAUGUGGUCCUUGACAGAAGAAGAGCAUAGGAGAGAAUUUAUACAAGGAGAGCCAAGCUAUGCCUAUAAAAUGGAUUUUGACUGAUCAAGCGGAUUGCUCCUGGGCUGCACAGACCUGGCAAAAUCAAUUCACGUGUGUAUGGAAAAGAGAGAGAUGUGGACACUAUCUGCAGGGAUCCAUACACAGCGUUCCCAAACUAAAACUCUUAUCCUUAACUCUGUCCUCAUAACUUUACCAUAAAGGUAGGUGUUUGGGGCCCUUUGCAAUGUAUUUGUUAAUAAUCUGAAAUCUGGGCCAGAGGUCCUCUUCAGCACAAUAAUAGAGCCAUUUUGCUAAACCCAUCCCCUCCCCAACCCUGUCUCCUCCUUUUUUUCCCCCCUUCUCAUCUCAUUUCCUCCUGAGCCAAAGAAAUCUGUCUGCCUGAUAGAUGGCUCCUGACAAGCUGAGCAGCUAAAGAUCACAUGUCAAUAGGGCUAUAAUUAGGAGAAUUGAGCCCUGUCAGGGCUGGACGGAUAUUUAUCUGAAAUCAAUGGCCAAUAGGGUGGAAGGAAUGAAGAUGUGGGAGUGUUUGCUUUGGAGCUG
rnacentral:lncRNA from 1 species